AUUGGAAGUACCAGUUCCUCUUCUCCCUUUCUCCAGAUUCCUCUCAAGCCUGGCUCUGCUGGAGGUUCCUUUCCCAGCUGCUGCUCUUGGAUUCUGAAUCCAUGCUGGCUGAAGAUAACAUGAGGGAAGGAUCCACUUUUGGACCUUAGUUGCUCCCCUUAGGCCCACCACUCCUUCCUUUCGGAGCACAUGCUGUCUGGGUAGCCCUUUGGCAUCGGACCUGGCCAAUCACAAGUGGACAGAAUCUGGAGAGUGGUCAUGGAAGGCGAUGCCCAGGGCUGUUUUGGGCUGAAGUUGGAUCGGAUUGGAAUGUUCAGUGGCUUUGGAUGUUAGCUCUGGAGGGGAACAAAGGAGUGAGCAUUGAAAUGAGGGGAACAGACACAGGAGUUACAUACACUCAGCCUGUCAUUUGGGACAACCCUCAAAACAAAGUGCCCAGUAUAUAUGCACUUGAAACCCUUCAACUCCUUUUGUCUUGUGCUCCAAUCUGGAAACUGGGACAAGGGGGCUGUAACUUGUGAAGAUGGUUGAACAAACAACCCCCCAACUGUGCCAUUGCCUUUCAGUCUGGUCCGAUAGUGCCCCCUUCUUAUGCAGUCCUGCACCUUUGUCAAUACCCCUCAAUCCUCACCUGCUGCCCUACUGCUCUGCCCAUGCUCCUCAAGUCUGACCUUACAGAAAUGCUAAUACCCCUGUUGUUCUCUUAUCUGUAUAAACAAUGUUUUAGUUUUUGUAGUAGUUUCUGUGUUUAAGGACACAUUUGGUAAUUAAAAAGAUGUAUAAUUGAUUUGUCUUGUAGAGUUAAAUUAGCCCAACAUCAGUAGCAGUAAAACCUUAUCUGCAAAAGA